rnacentral:lncRNA from 1 species
GAAGAUCAAAAGCCUUUGUGUGAUCCUUGCAGUGAAAUCUUCAAGUCUACCUGUUCAAUUUCUCAAAAUGAGUAAGUUAGUUUCUCUCGUUUCAGAUUUUCCAAUGUAUGUGAUAUUUGGUUUUGUCGCAUGUAUUGUUUGAGUCUUAUUUUAGGUUCUUUACUGAUCAAUUAUUCUAACGGUGUACCCUGAUCAUGAUUU